GAUGAACGCUAGCGAUAGGCUUAACACAUGCAAGUCGAGGGGCAGCAUGGUCUUAGCUUGCUAAGACUAAUGGCGACCGGCGCACGGGUGCGUAACGCGUAUGCAACUUGCCUCACAGAGGGGGAUAACCCGUCGAAAGACGGACUAAUACCGCGUACACUCCAUCUUGGACAUCCAAGGUAGAGGAAAUGAAAUUCGCUGUGAGAUAGGCAUGCGUCCCAUUAGCUAGUUGGUGAGGUAACGGCUCACCAAGGCGACGAUGGGUAGGGGAACUGAGAGGUUGAACCCCCACACUGGUACUGAGACACGGACCAGACUCCUACGGGAGGCAGCAGUGAGGAAUAUUGGUCAAUGGGCGAGAGCCUGAACCAGCCAAGUCGCGUGAAGGAUGACUGUCUUAUGGAUUGUAAACUUCUUUUAUACGGGAAUAACAAGAGUCACGUGUGACUCCCUGCAUGUACCGUAUGAAUAAGCAUCGGCUAACUCCGUG
rnacentral:rRNA from 1 species